rnacentral:rRNA from 1 species
GACGAACGCUGGCGGCGUGCUUAACACAUGCAAGUCGAACGGAGAGGCCCUGCUUUUGUGGGGUGCUCGAGUGGCGAACGGGUGAGUAACACGUGAGUAACCUGCCCUUGACUUUGGGAUAACUUCAGGAAACUGGGGCUAAUACCGGAUAGGAGCUCCAGCUGCAUGGUGGGGGUUGGAAAGUUUCGGCGGUUGGGGAUGGACUCGCGGCUUAUCAGCUUGUUGGUGGGGUAGUGGCUUACCAAGGCUUUGACGGGUAGCCGGCCUGAGAGGGUGACCGGCCACAUUGGGACUGAGAUACGGCCCAGACUCCUACGGGAGGCAGCAGUGGGGAAUAUUGCACAAUGGGCGGAAGCCUGAUGCAGCAACGCCGCGUGCGGGAUGACGGCCUUCGGGUUGUAAACCGCUUUCGCCUGUGACGAAGCGUGAGUGACGGUAAUGGGUAAAGAAGCACCGGCUAACUACGUG